rnacentral:rRNA from 1 species
UACGUAGGGUGCGAGCGUUGUCCGGAAUUAUUGGGCGUAAAGAGCUCGUAGGCGGUGCGUCACGUCGGCCGUGAAAACCUGCAGCUUAACUGUGGGCGUGCGGUCGAUACGGGCAUCACUGGAGUUCGGCAGGGGAGACUGGAAUUCCUGGUGUAGCGGUGAAAUGCGCAGAUAUCAGGAGGAACACCGGUGGCGAAGGCGGCAUCCUGGACCAAUACUGACGCUGAGGAGCGAAAGCCAGGGGAGCAAACGGG